GCCAAUUCCUGGUCCCUGCCAGGCAGCUGAGCCCGCCUGUGGCAUUGCAAUUCAUCCAUCCCCUGCUGGAGAGCAGGGAGCCCAGUGGGGCUAUGAGGCCCGGAGGCAGACAAAAUACACCCGGGUUAGGGACUGCCAGGGGAAAGAGAGAUGGACUCUCAAGGCCAGGGAGCAUCUCAAAAGCUGGCAGGGAGGCUGCACAGGAACCAGCAGGCUCCAGCUCCCCAGCUGGCACCUCUCUCUCUCAAGACCCCAGAAUCCCUCCAGCAGCUAGAAGCAGCCCUGGGGAGACACCAAGGAUGACUUGUCAGGUUUCUCCAGAUCCAGCAGCACUUGGUAACAAGGUGCCUCUGAACCAAUAACUGCAUCUGUCCAGGCGGCCCAGAACUCUGCACAGCAGGGGACAGAGAGACAGGCAUGUGGGGCAGGGGGCCAAGGUGGCAGCUGGCCAGCCGUACCGCUCACCAGGCUAGCGGGACAGAGGAGCCCUGACAGCGCCUGGGUGGGGGUGGAGGGUGUGCGAGAAGGAAGGGAGGACACAGUCCAUGCCUGCAGAACCUCUGUCCCAUAAAUGCAGUGGGAAAACAUGCCAGCCACUUGCUUAGCCCAGCCACCCCCUGCCCACAGGAGCCCCAUAGCAAAGCAAGCAGGGGAAAGGGAUGGAGACAACCAGUGCAGUGCAGUGAGUGCCGUGCCCCUUCCUCAGUCAGCUAGUUGUGGCCACUGAGGCAGGAGACUACACUAGCUGGACUGUGUUCUGAGCCAGGCUAGCCAUUCUGCCUGCCUAGGUUUGAAAGUGGCUGGAUCCCAGGCUGGCCUGCCCUGGGGGGCAGCGGCUGGGCAUGGGAAUGGUUGAGUGGUUGAGACCCAGCCAGUCCCGCAGUGCUUGAGAAUUUUAUAGGCAGACGUGACUGUCUGGCUUCUGAAAGCCCCCUGUUCUCAGUGUGGGAAUUAACCAUCACUUGGUGAACAUCCCCCUUCGCCACCACUCCUGGCCAGGUGAUGGUGCCCUGGCCCGGGCCUCUCUGUGCCCAGCACAAGCCAUGGGAGCAGGCGUGCGGGGCUGCAGCCCUCAGCAUUGCAGGCCUGAGUGGGGCUCUCCCAGCUAGCUGCUCUCUGGUGCCCCAGGGCGAUCCCUUCAGCCUCCGGCGCCCUGCACCCCCAGGGCAGGGAAACUCCAGCCAGUCCUGAAGCAGUUAAUCCCCUUCUCCGCCAGGCUUUAUAGAUUUAUCCCCCCUGCCUUGGCUGGGCUCAGGGCGGCAGCGCGGCGGGAGGGGAGCCGCUCCUCCAAACACCCCAAGUGGAUGAUCCCAGAGCCACAAUCAGCCGCCCCCUCGCAGGGAAAUCAGAGCCAGGUCGGGCUGGAAGGCCCCGGAGAAUCCACCAGGCCAGCCCCGGGCUGAGGCAGGACCAAGGAAACCCAGAAACGUUGCGCCUUGAGAAAAUUCAGCCCAUUCUGUCUUUUCACCCCCAACCGGCUCUAAACCCCGAGGUCACCUGCCCCCCCGCUUUCCUCUGGCGCCCACGGCCCAACACGAGCGCUCAGAUACUUCUGAGUAAGAGGUAGCCCGAGGGAUGCUGCACUGGCCUUCUCCUGAGCCUCCUUCCUCCUAGCUAGUGGAGAUUGAACACUGCAAUCUGUAUGAGGACGAACACUGCAAGCUGCUCACCUCUUUCUGCCGUGUGCUUCUACCCUCAGCUCUCCACCUGGCACAGUGCAAAGCCAAGACCUGCAGGUGUUUCCCCCCAAGCUAUGGCCUCUACACCACCUACCCUGUCUCACUCUGACUGCACUCUGGGAUGCAUCCAGCUUUUAUUAUGUAAAAGGAAACCACUCAGGUGUAAAAUCCACUGAAGUAGAGGGCAUGUCUACACUUACCCCCUGAGCGAUGCACCCAGUGCGAUAGUCUUCUAGACGCAAUAAAUUAACCACCGAGCGCUCUCCCGUCGACUCUGGUACUCCACCGGAGCGAGAGGCGCAGGUGGAGUUGAUGGGGGAGCAGCAGCAGUCGACUUACCACAGUGAAGACACCGUGGUGAGUAGCUCUAAGUACCUCAACUUCAGCUACGCUAUUUUCAUAGCUGAAGUUGUGUAAUUAGACCGACUUAGCUCACCCCUACCUCCUGGCGUAGACCAGGCCGACUUAGCUCACCCCUACCUCCCAGGUGUAGACCAGGGAAAGUUACAUUGGGUGGCAUUGUAUUUUAGGCGGUCUUGCUCUGAAAGCUGCCUCCCACUGUUGCACUAGCUGAGAACAAUGAAUUUUCACAUUGAACCCAAAUAUUAUUUGUGGGACCAUACCCAGUUUGUGUAGUUAAUCUCCAGUGAUUCACCACAUCAGGCCAUUCUGUCACCAAGCUCUUCCACAAUUAGAGGAAUCGACUCAUAGAAUCCGACUCAUAGGACUGGAAGGGACCUCAAGAGAUCAUCUGGUCUGGUCCCCUGCACUCAUGGCAGGACUAAGUAUUCUACAACAUGUGAUCAGCAGCUCUGACAUGAGGUUUUUUAAGCAUGAGUUCUGUGUGCACCAGCUCCCUACGGUUUACAUUUGUUUGUUUUAAGCUUUCUGUAAGAAAAAGGUAACAGCUAGAAGUGACACAGAUCUUUAGAUGGUUGCCCAGUCAUAAUAUUUAGCACUUCUGUACUAUGUUAGCUCUUCAAAAUCACUGUACAAACAUUAAAACAAACAAUAUAAAGCC